AUGAUCUCCAAUGAGAUGAAGGAUGAAGGCUUUGAUGUCAAGUGCGAGAACGAUGCAACGAUCUUGCUGGAAGGCUGUGAGGAUGGGUAUGUAGUUGCCCACUACAAGGAGCCAAGGCAGAUGAUGUAUUGCAGAAAACAAAGCGACAAACUUUUGCUCUCAGACAGUGAACUAUCAUGUUUCCUCUAUUUAAUUAGUUACAUUAGUUUAUUUAUAGGAAACUUGGCUGGCCAUUCGUUCAUAACUAUUGAACUAUUUAUAUGUGAAAAUUAA
rnacentral:rRNA from 1 species